rfam:Brachypodium distachyon strain Bd21 chromosome 2, whole genome shotgun sequence.
GAACUACUCCCUCCGUCCCAUAUUAAGUGACUCAAAUUUGCCAAAAUAUGGAUGUAUCUAUGUCUAAAAAGCGUCUAGAUACAUGUAAUAGAAGUCACUUAAUAUAAGACGGAGGGAGUAUAUG